rnacentral:rRNA from 1 species
ACCAUGGAAGUUGGCCACGCCCGAAGCCGUUACUCCAACCCUCGGGAGGAGGACGUCGAAGGUGGGGCUGAUGACUGGGGUGAAGUCGUAACAAGGUAUCCGUACCGGAAGGUGCGGAUGGAUCACCUCCUAA